CAGCCGCCGCGGGAACACGAAGGGGGCUAGCGUUGUUCGGAAUUACUGGGCGUAGAGCGCACGUAGGCGGAUAUUUAAGUCAGGGGUGAAAUCCCGCAGCUCAACUGCGGAACUGCCUUUGAUACUGGGUAUCUUGAGUAUGGAAGAGGUUAGUGGAAUUGCGAGUGUAGAGGUGAAAUUCGUAGAUAUUCGCAGGAACACCAGUGGCGAAGGCGGCUAACUGGUCCAUAACUGACGCUGAGGUGCGAAAGCGUGGGGAGCAAACAGGAUUAGAUACCCCAGUAGUCCCUGUCUCUUAUAC
rnacentral:rRNA from 1 species